AUAACAAGGUUUGGAUCGUACUGUUGUUAAUGUUUAUUUGUAAAUGAUGUAUAAUGAUCUUUCAUCCAAAUUUUCAGGAAAUUCAAGACGUAUCUAUUAUACUUGAACAAGGUGUGGCCAAUGAUCAAAUACAUAUACCAGUACGUCCAUUAGAAGAGGUUAAUUUGCAUGAUCACGCAAUAAUGAAUGUUAGUGGUGUCAGUGAACAAAAUGAUAAUGCCAGAAAGAAACUGGAAUUUGCAGUCGAUGGGAUAAGCUUGGCAAGACCAAAUAACUCAAGACCCAAAGGAAGAACAAUAAAGGGGAGUGAAGAAAGGGUUAUUAAAUUGGGAGCAAAAGGUACAAAGAAA